rnacentral:rRNA from 1 species
UACGGAGGGUGCGAGCGUUGUCCGGAAUCAUUGGGCGUAAAGGGCGCGUAGGUGGUUUGUUAAGUCUGCUGUGAAAGCCCCGGGCUCAACCUGGGAAUGGCAGUGGAUACUGGCAAGCUAGAGUGCGGUAGAGGGAUGUGGAAUUCCCGGUGUAGCGGUGAAAUGCGUAGAGAUCGGGAGGAACACCAGUGGCGAAGGCGGCAUCCUGGACCAGCACUGACACUCAGGCACGAAAGCGUGGGGAGCAAACAGG